GAUGAACGCUGGCGGCGUGCCUAAUACAUGCAAGUCGAGCGAACGGACGAGAAGCUUGCUUCUCUGAUGUUAGCGGCGGACGGGUGAGUAACACGUGGAUACCCUACCUAUAAUACUGGGAUAACUUCGGGAAACCGGCGCUAAUACCGGAUAAUAUUUUGAUCCGCAUGGUUCAAAAGUGAAAGACGGUCUUUCUGUCACUUCUAGAUGGAUCCGCGCUUCAUUAGAUAGUUGUUAAGGUAACGGCUUACCAAGGCAACCAUGCGUAGCCGACCUGGGAGGGUGAUAGGACACACUAGAACGGAGACGCGGUCAAGACUACUAAGAGACGGAGCAGAAGGGAAUGGUACGCAGUAGGAGGAAGCAUGGCGGAGCAAAGCCAAGUGAGUGAAAGAAGUAUUGGGAUCGGGAAACUCUGUUAUUAGGGAAGAACAGAUGUGUAAGUAACUGUAGAGUGCUUGACGGUACUGAAUCAGAAAGCAACGGCUAACUACGUG
rnacentral:rRNA from 1 species